rnacentral:rRNA from 1 species
CCUACGGGUGGCAGCAGUGGGGGAUAUUGCACAAUGGGGGAAACCCUGAUGCAGCGACGCCGCGUGGGUGAAGGAGUGCUUCGGCAUGUAAAGCCCUAUCGGCAGGGAAGAAGCAAGACGGUACCUGACUAAGAAGCCCCGGCUAACUACGUGCCAGCAGCCGCGGUAAUACGUAGGGGGCAAGCGUUAUCCGGAUUUACUGGGUGUAAAGGGAGCGUAGACGGCUGUGCAAGUCUGAAGUGAAAGCCCGUGGCUCAACCGCGGAACUGCUUUGGAAACUGUAUAGCUUGAGUACUGGAGAGGCAGGCGGAAUUCCUAGUGUAGCGGUGAAAUGCGUAGAUAGUAGGAGGAACACCAGUGGCGAAGGCGGCCUGCUGGACAGAAACUGACGUUGAGGCUCGAAAGCGUGGGGAGCAAACAGGAUUAGAUACCCGAGUAGUC